CUCCAGGAGCAAUGCAAUGCCCGCACACGGAGUGCUGCUCCAGGAGCAAUGCAAUGCAAUGCCGGCACACAUUGGGGGCGGUGCCGGUUCGGCUCAGGCUGAGCUUGCUGCCCAUGUCCCGUUCCGUGCCGUUCCUCCGGCAGGUGGCAGCAGCGGGGCGGGCUGCAGGGAUGGUGUGUGUGAACGCAGGGUGUCGGUGCUUGCUGGUGCUCCCUGUCAGUGCACCAUUCCCAGCCUCAGGGCUGGGCUCCUCACUGCCAUCUCCAUAGCGGCUCCCAUCGCCCUCACCAUUAGUUACAGUGCGGCCUUUUCCUGCUGUUAACCCUGAGUCCUGCUUCACAUCUGCCCGACUUCUGGGACAGAACUGCUUCAGACAUCCCGAUGUCCUUUAUGGGGCUCCCUUAUGCUGUCUAGACCCCCCAGGAGCUUUGUAUCCAUGUCCUAUGUAGGAGGAGGUCUUGAAGGGUUGCGUCUCUUGUUUAGCAUUAAUUCCUUCUCCAAGUUUUCCUGUAUUUCCAGCUUAUUAGCCGUGCUCUUUCCUGCACUAAUUCUCAAGCAGAAAUCAGCUGUGACUCCACGCCGUGCUCUGGGAGAGCUGUGGGAGGAUGGUGUGCGUGCAGCUCGCCCUGCAGGCUCUGCAUCCAUCCCUCGCCUUUGGGAGAGCUGGGGGUGGAUUUCGUUUAGUUAGGUUUUGCCUGGCAACAGAGAUGGAAAAUGGGAUGCAGUGUAAAGUUUAGCUGGAGCCUUUGUGGGGAGGGCAGUUAGGUGGCCUCAACACGUGUAUCAGUGAGGAAUAACGUAAAUAUCCUGAUAUUACAGGUCCUACCACAGCCAAAAUGGAGUGAUAGGUGAUUUUUUGGAGGACUGUAUCUUUUGCACUGAGCAGCACGUUCUGGAGCCUCCAGCUGCAGGAGGAUGCUUGCACAGCUGCAUCGGGCACAUAGGACACAUCUCUAAGGGAUUUCAGGGAUUCCCAGCUCUGUGCAGCUCCUGAGCUUCAAGGUGAAUGAAUACCUGCCUGGGAGCUGCAGGGCUGUGCCGCUGCUUGCUGCUGCCUAAGCCAGCUCUCACAGGGCCUGCGCUGGCAAGCUCAGAGGUGCUGGGGGCUGAUCUCUCAUCUUACAGCCCUUGUUUGCCAGCUUCCCAUAUGGUGCCCUUUGUACCUGCCUGAGGAGUAUUUGUCCUGUGGGGCACAGUUAAUCUCCGUGCCUGUUGUGGUUCUGGUUUUGUGCUGAUGCUGAAGGUCGUGGAUUCGUCAGCCCUGCGAGGCGAAGUCUUCUUCUUAAAUUCUGAACUGGAAAAGCUCCAAGUGGGUACGGCUCAAGUGUGUGCCCUGUCUGGUGCAGGCAAGUGUUCAGCCCUGAGACUGGCAGCAAGGGGUUUGAAUGGCAGACUAAUAGACAUGCCCUGGGAUUUAGCAUUUUCAGCUAAUUCUGUGUGGGUGUUAUGAGUGAGUACUUGCUGUUCUCUUCCCGGCUGUCCUUAGAGCUGAGCUGACAGGAUCAGAGUUGGCUCACUGCUUCCUUGAGCCGUCUCAUCCCUCCCUCACAUGCUCUGCUGUUGGAAACUAAACUUGUGCCUCUGACCUCUCCUAGCUUGGCCCCUGCUCCUCCAACCCCUACCCCAGGGCCCUGACCCGCUCCCUGAACAUAAGAGUGAUGUCUGAGCUUCCUUGUUGAGGAUCCUCAGACCUUUCUGGCUCUGUCUAAUUGUACUCUUAUCUGUGUGACCACAGCUGCCCUGGGAGAGCUGUCAGAUGUCUGAAUGGUCACAGGUUGAGAUGGAGAUUCGUGUCAUUGCCCCCAGAGUUUGCUUUCUCAUGCAGCCUCAUAUUACGGUAAAACAGCACCCAGAGAAGGAAGCAGUGAUGUCAUUUUGAGAGCUCUAUGUCACAGGGCUGGCACAACUGAGAUAACAGGAUUGGCACAAUAGAGAUAGCAGGGCUAGGUGUGGAGGGAGGUGUUCUGCUGCCAAAUACUUCCUCUGCUGAAAACAGCACAUCUGGGAUGGGAUAUUCCAACUUUCUGGUUUGGAGAACUCAUCAGGGAGAAGCAGAAACUUGCUGUGAGGCAAAGUGGUUUUCUCCAUCUUUGGGUGAGAGUUCUAUCUCAGAAUUCAGUUUCUAAGACCUCAGCUCCCUUGGGCUUUCCAGCACUGCAGAGACUGAAGUGCCUGAAGUUGGCUUCAAACACGAUUUGAUCAAUUCUUGUCCCUGUGCUCAUGAACUGUAAUUGUGCCUUGGCCCAAGAGCCGUUAAAACUAAGCCCCAGGAGACCAUCAAGUGCUGUGUUCAGAGGAAUGUGUGGAAAUUGUCAGAACCAGAAAACAACUGUUGCUAAAGCUUUCUUUGCUGUGUGGAGAAGACCAUGCAACUGCUCUGUGGUCCAUCACCAAACCUGGCAGCCUCACCUCAGCUAUAAAUCUAAACAAGUGUGUUCAUUUCAAUUUGCUUUUCAGUUUGCACUAUAGAAAGAAGCAGGGCAGAUCAUAGAAUCGUUACAUUUGGAAAGACCACUAUGAUCAUCCAUUCCAACCAAUGUUCCCAGGAUUGGGUUAGACUGGCUCUGAGGACAUUUCUGUAAACAGAAGGUUACAGCUGUCCUUAUUGCCAUCUAUUGUCAGCUUCAGUUGGAAGCAAAGGAGAGUCUGAAGGUACAUUAGAUUGAUGUGGCUCUCUUAAGACAGAUUUCAUCUAAUUAAACCAUGGCAAAAUAUGAGGAUGUGGGGCACGCCUUUGGAAUUUGUAACUUUAUUGCGGAAAAAAAAAUCCACUAUUAACAUAUCUUACAAAGAAAGUUGCACUUUGGUGUCGGGUGAGUUUCCUCCCUCACCCCUUUCCCCUGCACAGCAAAUGGGAACCCAGAGCAGCCAGCCCCUGCCCUGUUUGGUGCAGAGAUGGUUUUCCAGCCUACACCAGUUCCAGCCAGGAUGGAGUUUUAUUUUCCACCAUGAGCUUGCCUCUCUUUGUGCCAAAAAAACAGUAGCACCCUGCCCUGCGGCGGGGGAACGAGCCUGUAGCUAAGGAGAUUGCUCUGUGCAGACAAUGCUUGAUACAAAAGCUUUGGAGCUGUGACAAUUGCCCUUCAGUUUUCAUGCAAUAAUAGGAGGAGAGAACCAACCGUCCUACCCCGUUGUACUGGGCACCCUUACAAUAAACAGACACAAGGCCAAAGCCAACAGCUGAACCCAAACUGCACGGCAGCUACUUGUCAGCCUUUUGGAAGGAGGAACUGCUGCCUUCCUUGGUUCAUCCAUUUGACCACUUCUGCUCCAUUUCUGGGCUUUGCAGAUCAUUUGAAGGGGAAUUUUGCCUUUCCCUGCUAAGAAGAAUAGUAACAGCACUGGAAAAAGAUAGAUACUUUUGGUAGUGAGUCUUGUUAUCCAUUGUCUGUGGGCUCUGUGAGCACUGCUACUGAAGAAGGAGAAACAGAGGCUUCUAAGAGCAGAGCAGGAGAUACCUGUAUGUAACUUCUAGCCCUUGCUGUGUCCCAAGGGAACAGCUUAGUCAGAAAUCCAAUGCUCUUGAGUGGGUAUGUGCUUCUCUUUACCCGCAAUCAAAUGUGAAUUAGAAGACAGGAGCCAGUAUUCAUGACAUGAAAACUUCCGUGCCAUACACUAUCUGAAGCAAAGGCACCUGAAAACCCUUAGACUUGAGCUCAGAGGAUCUGACCUCUGGGUUUCCUUGCAGGAACUUAAAGCCUUGCAGUUUACACCAGUGAUAUUUUGAGGCAAAAGUGCAGAAUCUAAUCAGACUAACACCUAGAAAGGGAAGGGAGGAAGGCACUACAUCCAGGUUUUGUCCCCAGGACAGGACACUAACUGGCUCAAAGACCAACGUUAUAAAGGACCUUGUGCUUAGAGGAGGGACAGUGCAGUACUAGUUUUGUACAACAGCUUUCAGAAACAAGAUCCCAGCAGUAAAAUGGGAAGUAUCUGAAGAAAGACAUGUUGAUGCAGACAGAAAGGUGGACUAAAGCGUUUUUAAAGCCUGGGCAAUAGCUUACACUGAAAGCAGCAAGCAUUGCAGACCCAGUUUCCUAAUUGUGGUGAGGUUAAGUUAGUGUGUCUGGUUGGCAGCUGAGUGAGUCCUGACAAGCCCUGUUGAGCUAAAAUCACAGUGUCCUUCCAGCAGUUUCUAAGCAAGGGUAACUUCUCAAGCAGCCACAGAACUGUUUUCCCUUAAUGAGGAAAGGUGUGCAUGUAGGAAGGAAGCAGGGCAGUCUGUCAUCGUCCCAGUAGGUGUUUCAGGGUAGGCAGUGCCAAGCCCAGGACUAAAGCUGAAACAGGAACAACAACAGCAAAAAAAAGUGCAAGGAAAAAACAAAACUGAAAAAAAAAACCAUGUACAGAACAAGAGGGAGCGUCAGAGAACAGAUCUCCGCAUCCUCGGCUCCCUUAGAAAACAGCAGUCUCCUGUGCUGACUCCACCAGUGUAACAGCUUUUGCAUGGCUCACUCAUCCAUCCCCUCUAAAAGCAGCAGCUGUCAAGAUGGACAGAAGAGCUCCAUGCAGAACAUGACGGUAAAGGUUGUCUUUGCUAAUCGGUCACCACACUAAAAGGAGGAGGCACCUCUUUGGGAUAUCUUUUCUAGGAGAGCCCAGAGGAAUAAGCCAGACCUGAGCUCUGAUUUCCAGCAUAAAGAAUUUCAACACUGAACUAUUUAAAAUAUCUAAAAACCAAAAGCCAUCUGAAAACAAUCUUUCAGCUGUGUGCAAGUCAGAGCCCCCUCGUUUGUCAGCAGAUUGUCUGGGACCAAGUCCUCAAGGCCUUCUCCUCUGGGAAGUUCAGCCUACCAGGCAGAGGCAGCCCGGCUGCCUAGUAGCUGUAGAGUGAGAGGGGGGUAUCCUCCAUCAUGUCAUCCUGGAAACAGAGAAGAAUAUGUUUUAGUGGGACAUCUGCAUGAUGUACGGCCCCAGCCUCACCAUCCCCACUGUCACAGCACAGCCAUUUGCCCAACUGUCAACAUCACCCCUUUGUAAUGGAUCUUUGGACACUCGCUCUCCUGUUCUGUGUGUUUUGGAGAGAAGAAAGAGAACUGCCCAGCAGCAGAAAGCCAGAAGCAAGGCAGUGCUGAGGCAUCGCUCACCAUGGGCAGGUCCUGCAGGCGUCGGAACUCCAUGCGGCUGUUGUGCUGGCGGUAUCUCAGGAAGCCCACCAAGCCCAGGAUGCCCACCAUGACGAUGAAGACAGAGAUCACUGCGAUUACCAAGGGGUCAGCCCUCAUUGCAGGAGAACCUGGGAGCUCUACAAGGGAAUGGGGCCAAAUGAGAGUCUUCACAGUUGUUCUGCUCAGUACAACCGAGAAGAAAUUUGAGGUACCCCCAACCUGCUGUGUUUUGCAAGAACAGGGACAAGUGCAGAGCAUUACCUGGAUUUUCAUCAUCACCAACAUCCAACACAGAAGCUUUUUCAUGCAUGGGUUCCAAUUGCUGCCCCACUGGAGAUGUGCUGGUGGGGUUGGCAGCUGUGCUGGUGGCAGGAGGGCUGGUCAUGGGGAGUCUCAUCAUAACAGUACUGGAGGUGCUGGCAGGAGAUGUGCUCCCUACAGUGGAAAUGGGAGCAGAGGGCUCCACCUCCGUGGCCACUGUAGGGCUCGUUUCUGGCCUGGUGUCAGCUCUUGCUGCUGUGGACCCAGUGUUCUGCCCAUCGGUUGGCUCCAACUGAGAUCUGUUGGUUGUUGCUGCAAAAUAGGAACAAACAAUUAUUUCAAAGGAUAAAGUGGAAGUGUGUUGUGCUGUGGGACUGGACAAGGUGGAAGUAAGGUUGUAGAGAAGACAUUGGGAGACUAUAGGAAUAGCAGCUUACUGACAACCCUAUGGGUUAGCAAGAGUGUCCUAUAGCACAGGCACAGCUGAGCCACACUGUAAGGCAUGGUGCUAGAAAGCCCACUUAUUUUUCAUAUGUAGCCUUCACUGCAAACAGUCAACAUCCAAGCAAACAGCCAACAGAUUUAAUGCCAUGACUAAUGGGAUUUUCAGGGCGGAUGCUGAACUUAGAGCACCUGUAACUCGGUACCCCAUCUCCAGUUCUUACAAGAGUUCAUGGGAGUAGAGCCAUUCAGCACCCAGAGUUCCCAGGCUGUGCAGUCAUGAAAGGCAGAACCUCACCUGGCACACUGUUUGGAGGAGGUGUUGGGGUGGCACUGCUGACAUUGUCUAUUUCUUCAGUUGCAAUGAAGGGCUCUGUGACUUUGUGGUCAGACGGGCUUUUUUCCAGAGCACUCACAGUUGAGGCAGGGGAGGGGAUUUCAGUGCUGUUAGCUGACAAGCUCAUGUUGUGCUGCUCACGCUGUAUGUCUGUGAUGCCUGUGGGGCUGGCAGCAGUGGAAGUCUGCAGUCUUUCUGUCUCGGUACCGACCAUGGGGGUGGCAGAGAUGAAGGCAUCCUCCACCUCUGCAGGGUGAACUCCAGUGGCAUUGAGUGCUGCAGCAGUCACGUUUAUCUCCAAGCUCGUCUCUGGAACAGCAGUAGUGUCUGGGCUAAGGUUAGAGGCUUCCCUGAGCUGAUGAGAGGUUGGCACGGUGUUAAGAAGAGGUGACAGCACCGCAGUCUCUGUUGUCUUCUGUCCCUCUCCUACAGAAGAGAGUAAUGAAGUGCUGAAAAAUGUUUCAGAAAUCCCACACUGAGAUGAAACAGAAGGACAGGCCAGGAGCUGAACCUACCCAGCCUGGUAACUCCAAAUCCAGCACAAGUUCACACCUGGAGGAAAGGUUUGAAUAACUUCCUCCUACCACCUCAGCUAAAUCACUAUUUGCCCUGGCCAGAGGAAUUGUACCUCGUGUGAGCAGAGCUGUACAGAAGCUGGUGGGAUACUUUGGCAGUUGCCUUCAUGAGCUAUUUAUGAGCACAUCAUCACCAUCGAGUGUGACUGCUGUCAUAGGAAUGGAGAGCCACUCCACCUCCUGUUGGUGCAGACAGGGCUGUGAGCAGGACCCCCCCCUUGGAUGCGCUCAGCAGUUUGACAGCAAAGCCCUCACAGUGCCAGCUGACAAACAUGGAUCCUGUUUGGGUUUCUGAAGGGUGUAAACAGAAAACACAAAAAAAACAAACAACAGAGAAAUGUUGCCACACCAGGUUGGACUCUCCAGAGCAUUUGGAAACACUGCAUGGUCAGUAUUUUUGCUAUUUCUAUUCCAGAUUUCUACCUAAGCCCCAGAGGCAUGACAGCCAACCGCAGGAGAAAAGUGCUAAAGAAAAUCUCACUGUGUCCAUUCUGUCCAUAGUGGAGGCACCCAGGGAGGUGCCUUAGCCAAGAAACAUUCACCCACCAGCAAAGCAGCCCACUCUGGUACAAAGGCUUAGGUGAAAAACUCAGCAGUAUUUAGAAUGGAUACAGUUAUCAAAGCUCUUCUCCAGCUCCAGCACUUACCAGGGCCUAAAAAAAGACACAAUACUUCUCUCUCCAGAGCCCUUCGCAGUACCCCAACCAGCUGCAGGAUUCCAAACCCCAGAGCUGAGUGACAGAGCCAUGAUUCCCUAUCCCAGGGCCCCAGUCCCACGAGAGCAACAAGCAGCUCAGCCCAGCACGGCACAUUCAGAGAGUGAGCUCUCAAGAGGAGCCCGGAGCAACUUAAAGACCAGAAGCUUAAGAACUUCUCCCUUCUAUGUGUCCAGGACCUGGCUGGCUGUGGCCAGAACGUGCUAUGCAGUGUGCUACCAACCCCGCAGCUCCAGAGCCCUCUCUGGGCAGUGAAGGAUCUCAGCUGGGCAGAGGCGGGUGCUCCAUAAAUACGCCUCUACCUGCCCCUAUGCAGCAACACACACAGAGCUGCGCUGUUGUUGCAGGAUAAACAGGAAAGGCGGUGGCCAGGUGCCCGGCCAGCAGCAAGCCUGGUGAUGUGCUGCUCUGAAUAGCUGGCCUGUGCUGGGGCUGCCUCCCAUGGGGUUGUAAGCUGUGACUGGGGUAACGCAGGGAGAAGAUUUUGGGGAAGCUUGAAGAGCUGAGCAGCACUGAAAUGUUUGUGCCACUUUUUGGCUAAAAAUGGAAAACCAGAGAGAAGCAGAGCGAGCCUUGCAGAAGAGCCGACCUCCCUGCCUAGGGGUGCAGCAGGGCAGGGAGGUUUGUAGGGGGAAGCAGCUCCCCUCACUCCACUAAUGCUGUUCUUCUGGCAGAGAUGUUAAAAUUGGCAAGUUUGGGACAGGUUGGGCAGGGUAACCCACCAAGGGGCCUUUGAGCACCGCAGUAGAUGGCACCUGAUUAGCGUGUCACUGAGCCCAGCAUCCCAGCUCAGGAAACAAAGGAGAGCCGGGAAUGAGGGAAAGCCCCAGCGGAGCUCAAACAAAAGCUCCAGCCAUUAGGAGGUGAUGGUGAGAAGAUGGAGAACAAGGCCAGACCCAUAGGAUGGACAAAGAAAUGGACAGUGAGUAAAUGCCGAUCGCUCCCGGGCAGGCAGACAAAAGAUCCCCAUCCCAGGAAUGGGGGCACACCCAGAGCCAUCAGCCCGGCCUCGAGGGGGCCAGGGGAGGACCCUCGUGCGGUCUGCAUCAGCUCUGGGUGCUGAAGAGCAUAAGUACCAAUAGGUUUUCCUUCAGCUUUAGAAUAUAAACGCCCCACCACGGUUCGCAUUAAGAUGUGCUCAGUUUCUGCUUUGAUUUCCAGUUUUGUCCUGACAGUGGGCACCAGCGGCUGCAAGCCCUGCAGAGCAGAGGGGCAGAGGCUGGCCCUGCAUCUCUGGUACCCUACAGCUCUGAAAAUCUCGGCCUUCUGCCCAGAUGCUGCUGCUCCAUCGCUGAGCAAUGAUGACUUCAGCUAAUUAUCAGCUACUUGCAGAGGUGCAGGUUGGAGCUCAUCACUCUGGCAUCCUCCUGGAGCAGCUCUGCUUCCUGCACCAGGUGCCAGGGAGGCUGUGGCAGCACUGCCUGAGGCAUCGUCCUCUCCAGCUCCUGUAGACAGGAGGAAACCAGGCCCCUCUGCCUCAGGAAGGAAAGAAAGGGGAGGACUCAGAGAGCAUGCUGCACCUUCCAAGGCACAACAGUGGUCACCCUUGGAUCAUAACAAAGCAACAACGGCCAUGGUGCAAGUGAAGGAGCCAGGCCAGCUGCCGGCUCACUGGGAAACAACAAUUUCAGAGCAUGCCGGGGCAGGGCAGCAGGGUGUGCAGCUCCCAGCAGACAUCGCUGACUGCAGUGACCUCUGUCUGGGAAACGGGGGGAAGGAAGAGAGCAGCCUUUGGGAAGGAGGGAUGCAGCUGGAUGAGAAGCCCCUGUGUUGGAUGAGAGUGGGAUACUCUUCCCACUUGUGGGGAAGGGGAGGCUCCAGGCAUCGCUGAUGGACCCCCACACAUCAGCCUGCGCUCCCACCAGCUCUGGAGCAGACGUGGUAUAAAUAUGCCAGAGUGAAGGAAGCCAGCUCUGCAGGAGACGGGGCUGUUCCUGCUGUGUUCUCCCUGCCCAGGCUGCAGGGCUGGGGCCAAGCGAGGGGCUGCAUUAGGUCUGUACAUGGAUGUACAGUGUCCUCUGCACCCUCCUUCCUAUCUCAGCCAGAAACAGCAGCUCUCCAGGAGCCAAAGCAAAUCUGACCCCAGUUCACCAUCAUUUCCAAAAUCCCUUUUGUAGUAAACCUGGGCUGAGAGGUACCAGAGCCACAUGCUGUAGGGGAGCAUAGCACAGGGUGCAGCCUGCAGCCUCUGCUGCAAGAGACUCACAAGGCCCCUCAAGAGCUGAGCACAAAGAAGGAAAAGGGUCCAUCCAGGAUUUUGCAGGGUGCUGUAGCAUUAGGGAUCCCUGGUGCCUGCAAUGGCUCCCACACGGUACAUCACAGCCUGCACUCACUCCCUGCAACCCGCUGCCUGCUGAGCACAUCCAGCUGCCCCUCCCCAAGUGCUAUUUUGGUGCCCUAACUGAACCCAGUUCCCAUUGAAGUGUAACAACUCACAAACAAUGCAGCGGAAAACAAAACUAAUACCAUGUUUUAAAAGUAACCUGUGUCUAUCUCAGCAAUUACAUCCUCUUCCUUAGCAAAGUAGGUGGAGAAAUUCUCUUUUGUUGCCGGCUAUUAUAUUUUGAUGGUUACCAACCAAAGGUAAUUAGAAAAACCUCUUCAAGGAAAGAGAGCUGAAGUAUGAAUGCAAAUAAAGCCAGACAGUGGGAUUUAAACCCAAGGCUCUCCAUUUCACUGUGAGGCAGAGCUGGAAUAGCAGCCAGCCCUGACCUUCACGCUGUAACUCAGAGCCCAGAAUUAAAGAACCUGAAUGGCAGAGGUUUCAGGUAGGGCAAUGGAGAUGCUAUAGAGCAAACCCCCCAACUGCUUUGAGAUCCCAGUCCCAGCCCGAUACCUCGUGGGACCUCAAUGGAGGUGGGAUGCCACAAGGGCUGAUUCCAGGACUGUCCCUGUGCCCAUCCUGGCAGACAGGGGCUGAACAGGCUCUAUCUGCUGCCAGAGAUCCAGGUAUGAGCAGUGAACCAAGAGCUGAAGCACAGGUGUCAAGUGCCCAGUGCAGCUUUGGGAACCAGCCAGGCACACUGCAAAGGGCUGCAGUAAGAGACAGGAAUAGAAAUAUCUCCUGACCCAGGAGCUCCUUGCAGCACAACAGGGCAGGAGGCCUCGAGCUGAGCACGGGACGGGGCUCCGAUUAGAUACGGGGCAUUGAGCAAGUACAGUGCUGGCAAAAGACAGCCCAGGGCCCAACCUGCCCAGGCAGGCAGCGGGACACCUCCCCAGGGUGGUGCAGAUGCUGGGCCUCAGGUGUGAGCCCCAGGGGAGCAAAAUGGGGGAGCAGAAAUAUAUCAGUGCCACCACCUUGUUUGGUGGCACUGCAUUGGAAUAGGUGGCAGAGCGAGUUGUGAGCAGAAAGGAGCAGCCCUGGAAACAGUGCUGUGAAUGCCAAGCAUGGGCUCUUCCACACCAGGAGAAGGCAAAGAACAGCACAGACACGCCUGGGGCAGGCGGCGGUGCUGGGAGGUGUGGGGGAUAUGUGGGAGCACCCAUCGGCUGGACCCAGCAGCCCAGGAGUGCACACAUCGUGCCAGGAUGGGGAGACAUGCAUGAAAUCAUGCUACAGGUCUGCAUGGAGCUUUUCCUCUGCUCCCUCAUUCAAAGAGGAGGGUUUAGCCCAUGCUGUCUGCAUGGCCGCAGCCACCUCUCCAGGCAGUUAUUUUUCUCAGGCUGCAUGCAGAUGCACAGCACGCUGCCUGGCAGGGAGGUGCCCAUUCUCCCACGCUGUUCAGUUUGUGCCUCCAUUGAGUACUGAGCUGUGAUGAAGACACUCUGCCCAGAGACUGCUCAGAGAUUUGGGGACACACAUGAUUGUCAGAGCCUCGUCUGGGUCUGCACUAACACCAGUAACCACCACAGCAGUAGGAGAUCUGGCAUCAACCAGCCCCAGCCAUGAUUACCACAGCAAGCCACAGCUGUAGGGGAGGAAGCACUCAUGUCAUUAGGAGAGAAUUAAUUAGCCAGUUGCCUUAACAGUGGCCCCAUGUCAGCAGGGAAGCCAGGCGGUGUGGAGUGAGCUGGAGGAGCCUGGACACCAGGAAUCCUGCCCUGCCCCAGGACCUUCCUGGCUCUGAGGCUGAUGGUGCUGGAGGAAGUGGAUUUCCACAGGCAGUGAAGAAAGGCUGCAUUGAGAGCUGGGGUGGGCAGAGUGCAGGGGAUGCAGCAGUUUGGACCCACAGCGAACAGAGUGGGGCCAGCGAGGAGCAGCACCGGGCACAGGGCAGAGAUGCAUCUGCAGUGCUGGGAUGAGCCCAGU